AACGAACGCUGGCGGCAGGCCUAACACAUGCAAGUCGAGCGAACAGAUGAAGUGCUUGCACUUCUGACGUUAGCGGCGAACGGGUGAGUAACACGUAAGGAAUCUACCUAUAAGCGGGGGAUAACAUUCGGAAACGGGUGCUAAUACCGCAUAAUAUCUUCUUCCGCAUGGAAGAAGAUUGAAAGACGGCUCUGCUGUCACUUAUAGAUGACCUUGCGGUGCAUUAGUUAGUUGGUGGGGUAACGGCCUACCACGACGAUGAUGCAUAGCCGACCUGAGAGGGUGAUCGGCCACAUUGGGACUGAGACACGGCCCAAACUCCUACGGGAGGCAGCAGUAGGGAAUCUUCCGCAAUGGGCGAAAGCCUGACGGAGCAACGCCGCGUGAGUGAUGAAGGUCUUCGGAUCGUAAAACUCUGUUGUUAGGGAAGAACAAAUUUGUUAGUAACUGAACAAGUCUUGACGGUACCUAACCAGAAAGCCACGGCUAACUACGUGCCAGCCGCCGCCGUAA
rnacentral:rRNA from 1 species